rnacentral:rRNA from 1 species
GAGUACAGUGGCGCACGGGUGCGUAACACGUAGGUUACCUGCCCAUUUGUGGGGGACACACCGGGAAGAGCGGUGCUAAUACCGCAUAAGCUGGAAACAGGAAAGAGGGCCUAUGCUCUCGCUGAUGGAGGGGCCUGCGGGGUAUUAGCUUGAUGGUGGGGUAAUGGCCUACCAUGGCGAUGAUGCCUAGCCGGUCUGAGAGGAUGAUCGGCCACACUGGAACUGAGACACGGUCCAGACUCCUACGGGAGGCAGCAGUAGGGAAUAUUGCGCAAUGGGGGAAACCCUGACGCAGCAAUGCCGCGUGAGUGAGGACGGCCUUCGGGUUGUAAAGCUCUGUCCUAUAGGAAGAACGGCAUAGUGGUUAAUACCCAUUAUGUUUGACGGUACUAUAGAAGAAAGCACCGGCUAACUUCGUGCCAGCAGCCGCGGUAAUACGAAGGGUGCAAGCGUUGUUCGGAUUUAUUGGGCGUAAAGCGCGCGCAGGCGGAUUAUCAAGUCAGAUGUGAAAUCUCGGGGCCCAACCUCGAAACUGCGUCUGAAACUGAUAGUCUAGAAUCAUGUAGGGGGUAGGGGAAUUUCACGUGUAGGGGUAAAAUCCGUAGAGAUGUGAAGGAACACCAGAGGCGAAGGCGCCUACCUGGACAUGUUAUUGACGCUGAGGCGCGAAAGCGUGGGGAGCAAACAGGAUUAGAUACCCUGGUAGUCCACGCCGUAAACGAUGAGUACUAGUUACUGGAGGUAUUGACCCCUUCAGUGACGCAGCUAACGCAUUAAGUACUCCGCCUGGGAAGUACGGUCGCAAGACUAAAACUCAAAGGAAUUGACGGGGGCCCGCACAAGCGGUGGAUUAUGUGGUUUAAUUCGAAGCAACGCGCAAAACCUUACCUGGGCUUGAAAUCCUGUGAAUCCGACGUAAUGGUUGGAGUGCCCGCAAGGGAAUACAGUGACAGGUGCUGCAUGGCUGUCGUCAGCUCGUGUUGUGAAAUGUUGGGUUAAGUCUCGCAACGAGCGCAACCCCUAUCUUUAGUUGCCAGCAUUAAGUUGGGCACUCUAGAGAGACUGCCUGGGUUAACCAGGCGGAAGGUGGGGAUGACGUCAAGUCCUCGUGGCCCUUAUGUCCAGGGCUACACACGUAAUACAAUGGUGCACACAAAGGGAAGCGACCUAGCAAUAGUGAGCAAAUCUCAAAAAGUGCAUCUCAGUCCGGAUUGGAGUCUGCAACUCGACUCCAUGAAGUUGGAAU